rnacentral:rRNA from 1 species
AAUUGAAGCAGAGGACAGUGGCGGACGGGUGAGUAACGCGUGAGGAACCUGCCUUUCAGAGGGGGACAACAGUUGGAAACGACUGCUAAUACCGCAUGACACAUAGGUGUCGCAUGGCACUUAUGUCAAAGAUUUAUUGCUGAAAGAUGGCCUCGCGUCUGAUUAGAUAGUUGGCGGGGUAACGGCCCACCAAGGCGACGAUCAGUAGCCGGUCUGAGAGGAUGAACGGCCACAUUGGGACUGAGAUACGGCCCAGACUCC